GAGAAUGAAAGAACAAGAGUUUUGGUUUUAGAAAAAGUGAGAAAGGUAGGCUAGUUGAGCGAGGAAAAGAGAUGGUAAAUGAGAUGAGAUUUGAGUAAAAUACUGAGGCAAACGGAAUAGAAAAGCGGAGUAUUUGUCAAACAUUGCGAAACUAUUGAAUGUCGAUGUUGGGAGAAAACCAGAUUUUUUUUUGUACAAGAAACUAUGAAGGCAGAAUACUACCUGACCUGCUGAGCAUUUUCAGCAUUUUCUGUUUUAUUUAUGGCUGUGAGGAACCUAGCCUUGGGUGAGCUGCAGAAGUUUGUGCUCCAUCAUUGGACUCCAUGUUCAAAUGCAAUCAGGAACUUCCUGACAAUCAGAUAUAUGAAUGUUCAGGACUUCCAUGUUUUCCAGGAGCUACAGAGUUUCAGCUCCACACCUGGAAUGGCAUCUCCAUUUCCUCUUCCACUCUGUUUGAGCAAAGUACAAUGGAAACUGGAAGACAUCACCUCAUCUUUUGAAUGGGAACUUCACAGCAUUCUGGAUUCAAUGGCAGCUUUAAUGUUUUCUCAUCACAAUCAUGGCUCCAGUUUCCACUGAUCAUGGUAAUGAUUUAGGUUAUUGAUGGAUUUAUUCUUUGUGUUUCCCACUACACCCCCUUUGGCCAUCCAUCGUCAUCUCUUUUGUCAUGUAAUCUUUCUUGGUCUCCAUGUUUUUACGUAGCUUCCUUUUUGUUCUACUCUUUCCUCAUUUUUUUCUGCCUUUCUGUUUGAUUAAAACCUCUUAAAUCUAUAAUGGUUCCAGGUUUGCUAAAAUAUCUUAUUAAUCUAUAAUGUUAAUUCUGUUUCUCUCACAGAUGUAGCCUCAUCUGCUGAGAUUUUUUCUUAUUUUAAAAUUUUAUUUCAGAUUGCUAACAUUGACACUAUUUUGUUUUUUUAGGAAAUUAAUGUUUACCUUUUUACUGAGUCUUCAGCAAUACAGCUCUGAAACUGCCUACUAAAUGCAUGAAGGUGUAAUGAUAUUUUUUAAUCCAAUGCUUCCAUUCUUGUAUAGUUUUGUCAAGCUUGUGAUGUGAUGGGCAAUGCACCAUAACAAAAUAUGUGAGGUUUGGAAUCAGGAAUUAUGGAUACAAACCCUUGUCUCAUCAUUAGGAUUGGAUUUGGUUUAUGACACCAGAAUUAAAAAUGUUGCAUUGCCCAGUUUCUGUAUUAUAAUAAGCUGCCAGUGACAUGUAUUUCUUUACCCUGCAACUUAAAAUAUUUUAAUUUGUGAAUAUGCUAUUCUCUAAUACACUCUGACUCUUUCUUGACAUGAAUCCACAUGGUAAUGUGUCUAGCUGAAGACUGUGAUAUAAUGAUGUUCUACUAAUUUGAAUAUGAUCCUUUGAAGUAUAUUUAAUUGAGAUCCAACAAGCCUUCCACUGAUCAGUGCUGAUGACACAGAAACUCUUAAUUUGGCCCAAUGCAUUUAUCAUAAAAUUAUCCUGACUUAUGCUCUACUGGUACUUUUCUUAAUCUGCUGAAAGCAAUAUUGAGCUAUUUUUGGUUUAUAUGCAGGCUUUCAUCCAGCUGUGAAAUUGUACUGCUGAAACAAAAAUGAUUGUAAGAGAAGUAUCUAUUAAUAAAACCCAAAAUCAGUCGAAUUAUAGUUUAUUUCACUGACAUUGAGAAAAAAAUGCAGGAAUAGAAUGAAAAGGGAUUUCAAGCAUCAUACAGUAAUGGAAAAUGUCCCUGAUAGAUUCCAAUCUAAUGGAUUAUUAUAUUAUUGAUAGCUAUCAUGAAAAUGCAUGGGUAAUUGUUGCUUGAUUCAGUUGGU